rnacentral:rRNA from 1 species
GGGGUGGGACUAAAACAUGCAAGUCGAGCGCCUCCAAGCUAUGGUGAAGGCGCGGCAAACGGCUCAGUAACACGUGGCUAACCUACCCUUGGGACGGAGACACUCCCGGGAAACUGGGGCUAAUCCCCGAUAGGUAAGGACUCCUGGAAUGGAUCCUUGCUGAAAAGACGUUGAGUCCAUGCUAUUCAGCGUCGCCUAAGGAUGGGGCCGCGGCCGAUCAGGUUGUUGGCGAGGCAACGGCUCACCAAGCCUAUAACCGGUACGGGCCGUGAGAGCGGAAGCCCGGAGAUGGGAACUGAGACAAGGUCCCAGGCCCUACGGGGCGCAGCAGUUGCGAAAACUCCGCAAUGCACGAAAGUGUGACGGGGCUACCCCGAGUGCCGUCCGCUGAGGACGGCUUUUCCCCGGUGUAACUAGCCGGGGGAAUAAGGAGAGGGCAAGACUGGUGUCAGCCGCCGCGGUAAUACCAGCUCUCCGAGUUGUAGGGAUGAUUAUUGGGCUUAAAGCGUCCGUAGCCGGCUUAGCAAGUCUCCUGUUAAAUUCAGCGACCCAAUCGUUGAGCCGCGGGAUAUACUACUAGGCUAGGAGGCGGGAGAGGUCUACGGUACUUUCGGGGUAGGGGUGAAAUCCUA